UACGUAGGGGGCAAGCGUUGUCCGGAAUCAUUGGGCGUAAAGCGCGUGUAGGCGGUUCGAUAAGUCUGCUGUGAAAGUCCAGGGCUCAACCCUGGGAUGCCGGUGGAUACUGUCGGGCUCGAGUCCGGAAGAGGAGUGUGGAAUUCCUGGUGUAGCGGUGAAAUGCGCAGAUAUCAGGAGGAACACCAAUGGCGAAGGCAGCACUCUGGGACGUGACUGACGCUGAGACGCGAAAGCGUGGGGAGCAAACAGG
rnacentral:rRNA from 1 species